rnacentral:rRNA from 1 species
UACGUAGGGUGCGAGCGUUAAUCGGAAUUACUGGGCGUAAAGCGUGCGCAGGCGGUUCGUUAAGUCAGAUGUGAAAGCCCCGGGCUCAACCUGGGAACUGCAUUUGAAACUGUCGGGCUUGAGGCCGGGAGGGGGUAGCGGAAUUCCCAGUGUAGCGGUGAAAUGCGUAGAUAUUGGGAGGAACACCGGUGGCGAAGGCGGCUACCUGGACCGGUUCUGACGCUGAUGCGCGAAAGCGUGGGUAGCAAACAGG